AUGCAGUCGAGCGAGGACUUCGGUUCUAGCGGCGGACGGGUGAGUAACGCGUGGGAACGUGCCCUUCUCUACGGAAUAGCCCCGGGAAACUGGGAGUAAUACCGUAUACGCCCUUUGGGGGAAAGAUUUAUCGGAGAAGGAUCGGCCCGCGUUGGAUUAGGUAGUUGGUGGGGUAAUGGCCUACCAAGCCGACGAUCCAUAGCUGGUUUGAGAGGAUGAUCAGCCACACUGGGACUGAGACACGGCCCAGACUCCUACGGGAGGCAGCAGUGGGGAAUCUUAGACAAUGGGGGCAACCCUGAUCUAGCCAUGCCGCGUGAGUGAUGAAGGCCUUAGGGUUGUAAAGCUCUUUCAGCUGGGAAGAUAAUGACGGUACCAGCAGAAGAAGCCCCGGCUAACUCCGUGCCAGCAGCCGCGGUAAUACGGAGGGGGCUAGCGUUGUUCGGAAUUACUGGGCGUAAAGCGCACGUAGGCGGACUGGAAAGUUGGGGGUGAAAUCCCGGGGCUCAACCUCGGAACUGCCUUCAAAACUAUCAGUCUGGAGUUCGAGAGAGGUGAGUGGAAUUCCGAGUGUAGAGGUGAAAUUCGUAGAUAUUCGGAGGAACACCAGUGGCGAAGGCGGCUCACUGGCUCGAUACUGACGCUGAGGUG
rnacentral:rRNA from 1 species